rnacentral:rRNA from 1 species
GCUUAACGCGAAGAACCUUACCCACCUUUGACAUGUACGGAAGUUGCCAGAGAUGGUUUCGUGCUCGAAAGAGAGCCGUAACACAGGUGCUGCAUGGCUGUCGUCAGCUCGUGUCGUGAGAUGUUGGGUUAAGUCCCGCAACGAGCGCAACCCUUGUCAUUAGUUGCUACGAAGGGGCACUCUAAUGAGACUGCCGGUGACAAACCGGAGGAAGGUGGGGAUGACGUUAAGUCCUCAUGGCCCUUAUAGGUGGGGCUACACACGUCAUACAAUGGCCGGUACAAAGGGCAGCCAACCCGCGAGGGGGAGCUAAUCCCAUAAAGCCGGUCGUAGUCCGGAUCGCAGUCUGCAACUCGACUGCGUGAAGUCGGAAUCGCUAGUAAUCGUGGAUCAGCAUGUCUCGGUGAAUACGUUCCCGGGUCUUGUACACACCG